rnacentral:rRNA from 1 species
GAUGAACGCUGGCGGCGUGCCUAAUACAUGCAAGUCGAGCGAACGGACGAGAAGCUUGCUUCUCUGAUGUUAGCGGCGGACGGGUGAGUAACACGUGGAUAACCUACCUAUAAGACUGGGAUAACUUCGGGAAACCGGAUCUAAUACCGGAUAAUAUUUUGAACCGCAUGGUUCAAAAGUGAAAGACGGUCUUGCUGUCACUUAUAGAUGGUUCCGCGCUGCAUUAGCUAGUUGGUAAGGUAACGGCUUACCAAGGCAACGAUGCAUAGCCGACCUGAGAGGGUGAGCGGCCACACUGGAACUGAGACACGGUCCAGACUCCUACGGGAGGCAGCAGUAGGGAAUCUUCCGCAAUGGGCGAAAGCCUGACGGAGCAACGCCGCGUGAGUGAUGAAGGUCUUCGGAUCGUAAAACUCUGUUAUUAGGGAAGAACAUAUGUGUAAGUAACUGUGCACAGCUUGACGGUACCUAAUCAGAAAGCCACGGCUAACUACGUG